rnacentral:rRNA from 1 species
ACGGGGUGCAGCAGGCGCGAAAACUUUGCAAUGUGCGAAAGCACGACAAGGUUAAUCCGAGUGUUUUCUGCUAAAGAAAUCUUUUGUUAGUUCUAAAACCACUAUCGAAUAAGGGGUGGGCAAGUUCUGGUGUCAGCCGCCGCGGUAAAACCAGCACCUCAAGUGGUCAGGAUGAUUAUUGGGCCUAAAGCAUCCGUAGCCGGCUAUGUUAGUUUUCGGUUAAAUCCAUGUGCUCAACACAUGGGCUGUCGAGAAUACUGCAUAGCUAGGGAGUGGGAGAGGUAGACGGUACUCUGUAGGAAGGGGUAAAAUCCUUUGAUCUAUAGAAGACCACCAGUGGCGAAGGCGGUCUACCAGAACACGUCCGACGGUGAGGGAUGAAAGCUGGGGGAGCAAACCGGAUUAGAUACCCGGGUAGUCCCAGCUGUAAACUAUGCAAACUCAGUGAUGCAUUGGCUUGUGGCCAGCGCAGUGCCGCAGAGAAGUCGUUAAGUUUGCCGCCUGGGAAGUACGUACGCAAGUAUGGAACUUAAAGGAAUUGGCGGGGGAGCACCACAAGGGGUGAAGCCUGCGGUUCAAUUGGAGUCAACGCCGGA